rnacentral:rRNA from 1 species
UGGGGAAUUUUGGACAAUGGGCGAAAGCCUGAUCCAGCAAUGCCGCGUGUGUGAAGAAGGCCUUCGGGUUGUAAAGCACUUUUGUCCGGAAAGAAAUGGCUCUGGUUAAUACCUGGGGUCGAUGACGGUACCGGAAGAAUAAGGACCGGCUAACUACGUGCCAGCAGCCGCGGUAAUACGUAGGGUCCAAGCGUUAAUCGGAAUUACUGGGCGUAAAGCGUGCGCAGGCGGUUGUGCAAGACCGAUGUGAAAUCCCCGAGCUUAACUUGGGAAUUGCAUUGGUGACUGCACGGCUAGAGUGUGUCAGAGGGGGGUAGAAUUCCACGUGUAGCAGUGAAAUGCGUAGAGAUGUGGAGGAAUACCGAUGGCGAAGGCAACCCCCUGGGAUAACACUGACGCUCAUGCACGAAAGCGUGGGGAGCAAACAGGAUUAGAUACCCUGGUAGUCCACGCCCUAAACGAUGUCAACUAGUUGUUGGGGAUUCAUUUCCUUAGUAACGUAGCUAACGCGUGAAGUUGACCGCCUGGGGAGUACGGUCGCAAGAUUAAAAGCUCAAA